rnacentral:rRNA from 1 species
CAUGCAAGUCGAGCGGGCGAGGUUGCUUCGGUAACUGAGCUAGCGGCGGACGGGUGAGUAAUGCUUAGGAAUCUGCCUAUUAGUGGGGGACAACAUUCCGAAAGGAAUGCUAAUACCGCAUACGCCCUACGGGGGAAAGCAGGGGAUCUUCGGACCUUGCGCUAAUAGAUGAGCCUAAGUCAGAUUAGCUAGUUGGUGGGGUAAAGGCCUACCAAGGCGACGAUCUGUAGCGGGUCUGAGAGGAUGAUCCGCCACACUGGGACUGAGACACGGCCCAGACUCCUACGGGAGGCAGCAGUGGGGAAUAUUGGACAAUGGGCGCAAGCCUGAUCCAGCCAUGCCGCGUGUGUGAAGAAGGCCUUUUGGUUGUAAAGCACUUUAAGCGAGGAGGAGGCUACUUGGAUUAAUACUCUAGGAUAGUGGACGUUACUCGCAGAAUAAGCACCGGCUAACUCUGUGCCAGCAGCCGCGGCAAUACAGAGGGUGCGAGCGUUAAUCGGAUUUACUGGGCGUAAAGCGUGCGUAGGCGGCUUCUUAAGUCGGAUGUGAAAUCCCUGAGCUUAACUUAGAAUUGCAUUCGAUACUGGGAAGCUAGAGUAUGGGAGAGGAUGGUAGAAUUCCAGGUGUAGCGGUGAAAUGCGUAGAGAUCUGGAGGAAUACCGAUGGCGAAGGCAGCCAUCUGGCCUAAUACUGACGCUGAGGUACGAAAGCAUGGGGAGCAAACAGGAUUAGAUACCCUGGUAGUCCAUGCCGUAAACGAUGUCUACUAGCCGUUGGGGCCUUUGAGGCUUUAGUGGCGCAGCUA